GCUGUGGGCACGGACGGCACAAUCGUCUGACUGUUCAUCGCGAUGAAGGUCCUUUUGCUCCUAACUGUGGCGGCGGUGGCCCUGGGAGACGACCUGGUGGACGAGGACCGGGGCGACAGCGAGUACCACUUCGCCUGGCUCCACGACGGCGGCCGGACCUACGACUGGCAGGGCGCCAACAGCUACUGCUCGAGCCUCGGCCGCGGCUGGAAGGGCAUCAGCAUCGAGACCAGGGAGGAGAACGACUUCGUCACCGAUGUGAUCG